rnacentral:rRNA from 1 species
UACGUAGGGGGCAAGCGUUGUCCGGAUUCAUUGGGCGUAAAGAGCGUGUAGGCGGCCAGGUAGGUCGGUUGUGAAAACUGGAGGCUCAACCUUCAGAGGUCGACCGAAACCAUCUGGCUAGAGUCCGGGAGAGGAGAGUGGAAUUCCUGGUGUAGCGGUGAAAUGCGCAGAUAUCAGGAAGAACACCCGUGGCGAAAGCGGCUCUCUGGAACGGUGCUGACGCUGAGACGCGAAAGCGUGGGGAGCGAACAGG